AGGCCGCGCCGGGAGGUGCGAGGCCCGAACAGAAGCGGGCGGGCUUGGUGGGAGAGGUAACGACAGGCAUUCGCAACAGAAACUCAGCCUUGCAAGCAGUGUGUGCAUUACCAAUGGAGUCUUGUACUGAUUCUGGAGCUUGCUGUUCAUAAGCCCCUGUGAUUCUCCCAUCUCUGCUCCCCACAGGACUGGGGUGACACAGGACUGAGGUGACACAUCUGCAAACCCUGAACCCCACGCAGAAGCACCAAGCUGACCAGUCGUAGGCUACACGGAGAGCCUUGAGCACCAUGAGGAGCCUGGAAGAAAGUGGCAUAUGUGGUAUGGUGUGUAGCGUUCCUGUUCGUCGACAGUCUCUGCAGCAGGGGACUGGCCCCAAACAGGAAGCAGGUCAGAUGCUGGACCACCCAUUUCUUCCAUCUCUGGUGAAACAGACCUUUGUCUUAGGGUAAUACACAGCACUGAAUGAUAUAUUUAUUCAAAAGCACUUGGCAUAUAAAAGGCAUUCU